UACGUAGGGUCCGAGCGUUUGUCCGGAAUUAUUGGGCGUAAAGGGCUCGUAGGCGGUCUGUUGCGUCGGGAGUGAAAACUUACAGCUUAACUGUGAGCGUGCUUCCGAUACGGGCAGACUUGAGGUAUUCAGGGGAGAACGGAAUUCCUGGUGUAGCGGUGAAAUGCGCAGAUAUCAGGAGGAACACCGGUGGCGAAGGCGGUUCUCUGGGAAUAUCUGACGUGGAGGAGCGAAAGUGUGGGGAGCGAACAGG
rnacentral:rRNA from 1 species